GGCCGCGGGAAUUCGAUUCAGGCCUAACACAUGCAAGUCGAGCGGCAGCGGGAAAGUAGCUUGCUACUUUUGCCGGCGAGCGGAGGACGGGUGAGUAAUGCCUGGGGAUCUGCCCAGUCGAGGGGGAUAACUACUGGAAACGGUAGCUAAUACAGCAUACGCCCUACGGGGGAAAGCAGGGGACCUUCUGGCCUUGCGCGAUUGGAUGAACCCAGGUGGGAUUAGCUAGUUGGUGAGGUAAUGGCUCACCAAGGCGACGAUCCCUAGCUGGUCUGAGAGGAUGAUCAGCCACACUGGAACUGAGACACGGUCCAGACUCCUACGGGAGGCAGCAGUGGGGAAUAUUACACAAUGGGGGAAACCCUGAUGCAGCCAAGGCGCGUGUGUGAAGAUGUCCUUCGGGUUGUAAAUUAUAUUGAGCGAGGAGGAAAGGUUGGUAGCUAAUAACUGCAAGCUGUGACGUACUCGCAGAAGA
rnacentral:rRNA from 1 species